rnacentral:lncRNA from 1 species
AAUUAAGAUUUGAAGGACUGAUGCUAUUAAAACCCAUGAAAAAACUUAUGUGUAAGCCAAACAUCAAUUUAUUCAUUUAUAAUGAGAAUUAAUUGCCAAGUAGGGCAAAACACUCAUGUCAGCUGGUUAGCAAAUUUUCUCCCCUUAACAAAGUUUAUAUGGGAAAGUAAUUACAAUCAGAUGACUUCUUAGAGCAUGGAAUCAGAGCAAAGAGAGUUAGAUGACAAUCUUUAUGGCUAAUGACACAAAUUGGGAUGGCCUGGUGCCUUCAUCCCACUGUAGGUGGACCUGCCAAAGCAUCUGCUGGUCAAUGUCCCCUGUCUGAGUCUAGAGAGAUUACUGAUGCCCUAUGGCUCUUUAAUUACCCUCUUUUCUAGACUCCGUGCAGAUCGUUCUCUUGUUAACAAUUUCUUCUUCAGACUCAUCAUAAGAUGAUUAAAUUCUACCUUGCUGGGUGGCAUUAAUCAUGUAGCAGAUCUGCCUCCCUGAAACUACAAACUUGAUUGGACCUGGGGGUUCCCCAAGCCUAUGCAGUUGCAAACUUCAUCUUUGAGUAGGUUACAUCUCAUCUGUUCUCUGUAGAUUUUAAUUAGCUUCACUCUCAGAGAAUUUCACUUAGGUAUAAAUUCUGAGGACAUAUCCAUGUAACUCUCCUUAUGCUAAGUAAUGAGUUCAUUCUAGUUGAAGUGGAUAGUGUCACAAUAACAAAAUUUUGAAGUGGUAAACAAAAAAAUGGUUGCUAGCUAGUAGACAGUAAAGCAUCAUCCUAACAUCCUAUUCAUAUGCUCAGUCUGGCUGUAUACUACAGAGAGUACAAGAAGUCCUUGAUUGAGAAUUCCUCAACAAGGGGUUUCUGAAAGUGGGAAGUGCACUGAAGUUCAUAGCCCAGGAUUAAUAAUCUGUUCUAAGAGGCUAUGGAAUCUUAAGAUUUCUUGAUGAAGAAGGUAAUGUCACUGCUGAGGGAAGGACCAAACAGGAAAUAAAAUGGUACAUCUUUGUGAGAAAGCACACAAUGAUAAAUUCUGGUCCUAAGAUAAGGAAAGAUUGGUGAUGAAGCCAACAGAAUGCUCCUAUCAGCAUUCCAGGACUAUACUGGGGUCAGCAAGGAAAGUGACUGGAGCAGGAUACCUCCAGGUAAUCUCAGAGUCACUUAAAGUUCAAAUAGAUCUCCUUGUUAGAGGAUCUCAUACAAUCCCAGUACUCCAGUGGGAAUUUCUUGGCACAACUGGAAUAUGUGCAUGCAUGUCUCCUUGUUGUGAGAGCAUAUGAAGUAAGAUAGACAUAUAGCAAGCUGUUGAUAAAGGAGAACUCUUAUGAAUGCAAAUAAGGAUUGGCACAGUGGUUAGCGAGGCACUGAUGGGUGAAAAGAUCUGUUUGUUUGCACUACAGGAUGAGAGUAGUAUGGUGUUAGCUGGGUUUAAGUAUUGUCAAAGUUAGCCGAAUUCUCCAGAAAUAAAGCCAAAGUAAAUGGCACUUCAUAUUAUGAGAGGCCUUUAUGGUUGCUAGGGAAUAUGGAAUUACUGAUUUUUCUUCAGGAGAUCCAUUAUGGGGACAUACAUCAACACCAAGAAGCAGGGAACGGCGGACUGGAAAUUCCCACCAAACACUGGCCAUCACUGGAUAUCCUUAACAUUUUAGGGAGUUGUGUCUUUUCAGCAUGGCACUACUUUUGUUCAGAAGCAUUAGGAAUCCAUUCACAGAGCUGAUGUGUGCCAAGAGAACAACAUGAGCAAUCAAACCCCCACUUCUUGAGUUUUACGCACAGAUGGUGUUGAUGUAUACGCCCUCGGAUUUUUCAGACGGGAUGGUUCAGAAACUUGUCUGCCAUUAAUUGCUCUUCAAGAUCCUCAACUAGAUGAGGGUCCCCAGAGGUGGUCCAUGAGGGUAGGUGGUUCAUAAAACAUCCUGGAACCUAGAGUAGGGUGUUGGGGAAGAGAACAGUAAUCUGGGAUUGGUAGGGCUUAGCAAACAACAUGUACCUGCCUGAAGAGAUAGCCCUCAAAGAAAUGUAUCAACAGUUCCAAGCAGAGUUUUCAAAGGGCCAUACCAUCUGGUUUGUCAUUAGGCAGGAGAUCCAGUUUGUUGGGUAAGCAGAAGCCUUUAAAUGGCAACAAAAUGCAUAGCUAUGGAAGGGUGGCAGAGCUGUGUGUUCUAUGCAGGUUAGUUUGUAUUGAAGAUGGACUCUAGCCAAUAGGUGGAGCAGGAUCCAGCCUCCAAUAGGAAAAUAUUGGUAGGAUAUGGGAAUGCAAUUAGGACUUCAGUCAAGGGUUCGAAACCAACAUGAAAAUAGGAGACAGACCAGUGAGGAUGAAGGUGAAAGGCUUAGGCAUAAUCUCAGGCGCAGAAGACUUAGGCCAACAAACUCAACCCAGAUCUCAUCCAUUGGUGGGGAUGGGGUU